rnacentral:rRNA from 1 species
UACGAAGGGGGCUAGCGUUGCUCGGAAUGACUGGGCGUAAAGGGCGCGUAGGCGGUGUGCUUUGUCAGGCGUGAAAUUCCAGGGCUUAACCUUGGGGCUGCGUUUGAGACGGGCAUUCUUGAGUAUGGAAGAGGGUCGUGGAAUUCCCAGUGUAGAGGUGAAAUUCGUAGAUACUGGGAAGAACCCCGGUGGCAAAGGCGGCGACCUGGUCCUUGACUGACGCUGAGGCGCGAAAGCGUGGGGAGCAAACAGG